AGAACGAACGCUGGCGGCGUGGAUAAGACAUGCAAGUCGAGCGAGAUUUUUUCUUGUAGCAAUACAGGGAAAAGUCUAGCGGCGAACGGGUGCUUAACACGUGGGCAACCUGCCAAGAAGUGGGGGAUAGCUCGCCGAAAGGCGAAUUAAUACCGCAUGUGAUUAGAGAGGACAUCCUUUCGAAAUUAAAGUCGGGGCAACCUGACGCUUCUUGUGGGGCCCGCGGCCUAUCAGCUAGUUGGUGAGGUAACGGCUCACCAAGGCUUUGACGGGUAGCUGGUCUGAGAGGACGACCAGCCACACUGGGACUGAGGCACGGCCCAGACUCCUACGGGAGGCAGCAGUGGGGAAUUUUGCGCAAUGGGGGAACCCUGACGCAGCAACGCCGCGUGGAGGAUGAAUAUCUUGGUAUGUAAACUCCUUUCGAUGGGGAAGAUUAUGACGGUACCCAUAGAAGAAGCCCGGCUAACUUCGUGCCAGCAGCCGC
rnacentral:rRNA from 1 species